AUUCCAGCUCCAAUAGCGUAUAUUAAAGUUGUUGCGGUUAAAAAGCUCGUAGUUGGAUCUCAGUUCCGGACCGACGGUGCGCCCUCGGCGAUUUACUGUCGGUCCGAACAGCUAGUCGGCUCGCUCGGGGUGUUCUUUAUCGGGUGUCCCGCGUGGCCGGCAUGUUUACUUUGAAAAAAUUAGAGUGCUCAAAGCAGGCUAAUGCCUGAAUAGUUGUGCAUGGAAUAAUGGAAUAGGACCUCGGUUCUAUUUUGUUGGUUUUCGGAACCCGAGGUAAUGAUUAAUAGAGACGGACGGGGGCAUUCGUAUUGCGACGCUAGAGGUGAAAUUCUUGGACCGUCGCAAGACGUACUACUGCGAAAGCAUUUGCCAAGAACGUUCUCAUUAAUCAAGAACGAAAGUUAGAGGUUCGAAGGCGAUCAGAUACCGCCCUAGUUCUAACCAUUAACGAUGCUGACUAGCGAUCCGUCUGUGUUAAUCCCAUGACUAGACGGGCAGCUUCCGGGAAACCAAAGUCUUUGAGUUCCGGGGGAAGUAUGGUUGCAAAGCUGAAACUUAAAGGAAUUGACGGAAGGGCACCACCAGGAGUGGAGCCUGCGGCUUAAUUUGACUCAACACGGGAAAUCUCACCAGGCCAGGACACUAGAAGGAUUGACAGAUUGAUAGCUC
rnacentral:rRNA from 1 species